rnacentral:rRNA from 1 species
AUAGCGUAUAUUAAAGUUGUUGCGGUUAAAAAGCUCGUAGUUAGAUUUCUGGUACUUUCAGCCGGUCAACCUCACGGUUGUAUCUGGCAUUGAGAGGACCUUUGCCUUACCUUGUACUGCACUUGUGCGAUGCAAAGUUUGGCCUUUUACUUUGAGGAAAUUAGAGUGUUUCAAGCAGGCUACUGCCUUGAAUACAUUAGCAUGGAAUAAUAAUAUAUGACUUCGGUCUUAUUUUGUUGGUUUCCGGGCUGAAGUAAUGAUUAAUAGGGACAGUCGGGGGCAUUCGUACUUAACAGUCAGAGGUGAAAUUCUUGGAUUUGUUAAAGACGAACUACUG